CGGGCGGUCGGAGGAGUUCUGCUGGGAGAACACCCGCCCUCUGCCUGAAGCGUCCCCAAGUGUCCCGGGACCGCGUCGUGGCCGGAUGCACAAUACUGACACCCUUGCCGGUGGCUUCCAGUGUAUUCUGCCUCCUCUUGUGUUCCCGAUGCCACCCUUAGCUCCCUGACUCUUCUAGCCACCUUCCCCUCCUCCCUCUUCCCUGAGGUGCCUCCUCGGGCGAUUCCAGAGCGCCCACCUUCCCAGUCCGGGCAAAACCCGGAGAGGUGGAAUCCCUCACCCGGAGCGCCCCGGCGGCCACUGGGCAUGCUCCGUUGUCAGGCGGGUUCGGGGCUGCAGGCAGCUUGCGCGCCGGCCGGAUUCCUGCUGCGGCCGCGCGUCCUCCUCCUCCCAAGCAGGGAGCGGGCGCAUGAUGGCGGCCGCGGCUGCAGCGGCUGCGGGGAGCGCCAGCAGCGGCGGCGGCGGCGGCGGCAGCAGCAGCGACACGUCCAGCACCGGCGAGGAGGAGAGGAUGCGGCGCCUCUUCCAGACUUGCGACGGCGACGGGGACGGAUACAUCAGCAGGUUAUGCACCAGAAAGGAGAAGAAUGGAGAGGCAAAGACUGAUUGACCCCACUCAUGGUGCCUGCCCAUCCUGUGGCUCCUCCAUCUUUUGAAAAAGAGCUCUGAAUCUUGUCAUACUUAAAAACUAUUGGAAUCUAAAAGUAGGCAUAUGACAGAAAAAUCCUA
rnacentral:sRNA from 1 species